rnacentral:rRNA from 1 species
AUACAGAGGGUGCAAGCGUUAAUCGGAUUUACUGGGCGUAAAGCGCGCGUAGGUGGCUAAUUAAGUCAAAUGUGAAAUCCCCGAGCUUAACUUGGGAAUUGCAUUCGAUACUGGUUAGCUAGAGUAUGGGAGAGGAUGGUAGAAUUCCAGGUGUAGCGGUGAACUGCGUAGAGAUCUGGAGGAAUACCGAUGGCGAAGGCAGCCAUCUGGCCUAAUACUGACACUGAGUUGCGAAAGCAUGGGGAGCAAACAGGAUUAGAUACCCUGGUAGUCCAUGCCGUAAACGAUGUCUACUAGCCGUCGGGGCCCUUGAGGCUUUAGUGGCGCAGCUAACGCGAUAAGUAGACCGCCUGGGGAGUACGGUCGCAAGACUAAAACUCAAAUGAAUUGGCGGGG